UCUCCUCAGCAAUAGCAGCUGCGCCGCUUCGCUACAAUUAACCAUGUUACCAACAGCGGUAGAGUUGAUCGUCAGCUGGCCAAUGGAGCAUAGUCAUAGAGCGUUCUAGCGGAGACUCCAGCGAUGUCGGCUACAAACAAACAAUGCCUGUGCCAGUGGCAGUAAUUGCUGAGAGGAAAUAAUAGCAGAUUCGUUGCUAGGGUAGCCAGGCUGUCAGGGUUGCAGUAGGAGAUUGGGUUACGACUACAAGCAGCGCUUCUUCUAUGCCUUGAAUGCCUGUUUUAGGAUCGAAACGUUUUCACUCGCACAGCACCAGUCAGACUUGGGCCUACUUUCGUUUGCAUACCGAAGUCGAAUUUACCCUGAGGAAAUUUUAAGGUUCCACAUCGAUGAAAGUCCCGACGGGCUGCCAGAAUCAGAAAUUUUCCUGAGUCAUCGACACUACAUCGUUCAGUAGAUCCAAUGAUGGCGCUUGUUCCUUCGAUUUAAACGAAUUCACUUCGAAGCAGCACAACCCAAUGAGAAAUUCAAUAUAACCACUGACGAUCUGCUAAGCCAUCUGAGAGGCGCAUAGACUGGCCUGACUGCUCUGAUGAACGUUGUUGUUGUGACUAUCCUGAACACCGUUCAGACCAAGAGUUGAUGAGUGUCUGACGUGAUGGCGAAGUAUUUAUUUGCUGAGGUUUACAUGUUGGACAUGGUGGAAGGGACGUUGUUAAGAUUCGUAUAGUAAGCGGUACGCAGAGCGAUGACAACGUACAUUUCUUUAUUUAGCAUAACGAGUUUACGUUGUCUCAGCUGCCCUGCCAAAGGGACCGUGGCGAAUGUUCAGCCUGAUGUACAGUUGAGGGCUAAUGAUACGUGUGAAUAUGUAACGUUAACUGUUUCUUUACAUUAAACAAAACUAUAAUACAAAUCUGAAGAAAUAUAACAGUAUACAAUGAUGUAUGUAUUGAAUAAAGUGAUAAUAAGUGUCAAUCGCCCCUGUUGCCUAUUGGUUUUUGAUGCUGGGCACAAGCUCCGCCCCGGGCAAUGUGGUAUCCGAUAAACUGAGACACAUUUGUCUGCGACAUACCAGACGGAAAAACAGUCCAUCGAAUAGUAACACGGUUUGACCUCUAUGUACCAGGUCUUGCCGAGACUAUUACUUAAUCUGCGAGUUGAAAACGUAUUUAAGUUGUCUAAUAGCAACGAAGAAUAGAACUUUAGUAGUCUUCUGAAUAGUUUCCCCUGACAACAACAUAUCUGCUUACGCUCGGUUGGUGUGUAAUCGCCAAAUCUGGGACCCUAAAGAAAGGAAGACGUUAUCAUUAUUCAAAUGAUAACGUCUUCAUAACUUAAGAUUUUAGUGAACUGCUCGUUUCACGGAUUAGAAAGUCAAAGCAAAAAUCCAGCUGCAGGUAGCAUGUAGCAUACCGAUUGUAAAUGGCAUUUUCUUUUUAUUCUGUGUUGAGCGCUACUGCAAUUAAAUGCGCCGAAAUAUUUAAAUAUAGAAUAUAUAGCAAAAAAUCACAAUUUAAUUGCUUCAGAUAAUCGGUAGCAUGAAGCUGCGGAAGUACUCUCACACGCUUUACGAGCUAAUACGAGUCGGAUUUCGUAAUCCUUUCAAAAACGAAACUUUAUCAAGGGUAAUAAUUAUAAAAUGUUAAAUAAUUACCAAUAUAUGACCUUGUCCAAUCGACGACGACGAAUGGUUUCCUAAGCUCCCAUUUUACUAGUUAUCCGGAACAAACGCCAUGCAACGAUUCCGUCGAGCCGUUUUAGUUAAAACUCAAAGGCGAUAAUAACAUCUAGUACUUCCUUCUCAUAUAUUACGUUUCUGUUUAUGAACGAGAAUAUUACUUCUCGGAACUGGCCACCUACCACCAUAUACCGCGGAAGGUGGCUGUUUUCUAUAUCAGCUCUGACCAGUUGAAACGGAACCUGAAACAGAUUCAUAAUGACACCGAAUCACAACAUAAAAGUGUUACGUCACUUCAAUGCAAUCGCCAGUUAAUUUACCUAAGAUAACGAUAAUGCGUCGGACGCAGCCUCUCGCUUCCUCUGCUUGAACGACCUGCCUCACCGGCAAGUAAAACUGUGAAGAACUCCAUAAGGAAAAUAGGCAUGUGUGUUCUUACAUCCACUGAAGGUAUCCACUUCAAAGUCAAAAGACGCAAACUACUAGCAAGCAUUAAUCAAGCAUGUCUCGAUGAUUCUCGUUAUUCGUGUUCAGCAUUGGCAGUUGGUUUCAACAAGCAACAUGUCCGUUUAGGAACUCACAAAG
rnacentral:lncRNA from 1 species